AUUGAACGCUGGCGGAAUGCUUUACACAUGCAAGUCGAACGGUAACAGGGUGCUUGCACCGCUGACGAGUGGCGAACGGGUGUGUAAUGCGUCGGAACGUGCCGAGUAGUGGGGGAUAACGCAGCGAAAGUUGUGCUAAUACCGCAUACGUACUGAGGUAGAAAGUGGGGGACCUUCGGGCCUUACGCUAUUCGAGCGGCCGACGUCUGAUUAGCUAGUAGGUGAGGUAAAGGCUCACCUAGGCGACGAUCAGUAGCGGGUCUGAGAGGAUGAUCCGCCACACUGGGACUGAGACACGGCCCAGACUCCUACGGGAGGCAGCAGUGGGGAAUUUUGGACAAUGGGCGAAAGCCUGAUCCAGCCAUGCCGCGUGUCUGAAGAAGGCCUUCGGGUUGUAAAGGACUUUUGUCGGGGAGGAAAUCCCCAGCGUUAAUACCGCUGGGGGAUGACAGUACCUGAAGAAUAAGCACCGGCUAACUACGUGCCAGCCGCCGCGGUAACAC
rnacentral:rRNA from 1 species